UACAGAGGUCUCAAGCGUUGUUCGGAUUCAUUGGGCGUAAAGGGUGCGUAGGCGGCGCGGUAAGUCGGGUGUGAAAUCUCGGAGCUUAACUCCGAAACUGCAUUCGAUACUGCCGUGCUUGAGGACUGGAGAGGAGACUGGAAUUUACGGUGUAGCGGUGAAAUGCGUAGAUAUUGGGAGGAACACCAGAUGCGAAGGCGGGUCACUGGGCUGAUACUGACGCUAAAGCGCGAAAGCCAGGGGAGCGAACGGG
rnacentral:rRNA from 1 species